rnacentral:rRNA from 1 species
AUGAAGAUAUUCUGUUGGAACUGCCGCGGGAUUGGCGACCCUGCGACGGUUCGGGAGCUCCGCGAUCUCGUGGAGGCAUGUGUGCCAAUGGUUCUUUGUAUUGUGGAGACACAGCUUGCGAAGUACCGGGUGGAAGGAUUGGCGGGUACUUUAGGUUUUUCAGGUCGUUUUGGAGUAGACAAUAGUGGUAGGAGUGGAGGUUUAUGCGUGUUUUGGAAAUAUUGA